UACGUAGGGUGCUAGCGUUGUUCGGAAUCAUUGGGCGUAAAGCGCGUGUAGGUGGUUAUCUAAGUCAGAUGUGAAAUCCCUAGGCUCAACCAAGGAAGUGCAUUUGAAACUAGUUAACUAGAAGAUGGUAGAGGAAGGUGGAAUUCCAGGUGUAGAGGUGAAAUUCGUAGAUAUCUGGAGGAAUACCGGUGGCGAAGGCGGCCUUCUGGACCAUCCUUGACACUAAGACGCGAAAGCGUGGGUAGCAAACGGG
rnacentral:rRNA from 1 species